rnacentral:rRNA from 1 species
UACGGGGGGGGCAAGCGUUGUUCGGAAUUACUGGGCGUAAAGGGCUCGUAGGCGGCCAACUAAGUCGGAUGUGAAAUCCCCAGGCUUAACCUGGGAACUGCAUCCGAUACUGGAUGGCUUGAAUCCGGGAGAGGGAUGCGGAAUUCCAGGUGUAGCGGUGAAAUGCGCAGAUAUCAGGAGGAACACCAAUAGCGAAGGCAGCUCGCUGGGACGUUACUGACACUAAGGCGCGAAAGCGUGGGGAGCGAACAGG